ACCUACGGGACGCAGCAGUGGGGAAUAUUGGACAAUGGGCGCAAGCCUGAUCCAGCCAUGCCGCGUGGAUGAUGAAGGCCUUAGGGUUGUAAAGUCCUUUCAGCGGGGAAGAUAAUGACGGUACCCGCAGAAGAAGCCCCGGCUAACUUCGUGCCAGCAGCCGCGGUAAUACGAAGGGGGCUAGCGUUGCUCGGAAUUACUGGGCGUAAAGCGCACGUAGGCGGCUCUUUAAGUCGGGGGUGAAAUCCUGGAGCUCAACUCCAGAACUGCCUUCGAUACUGAAGAGCUCGAGUCCGGGAGAGGUGAGUGGAACUGCGAGUGUAGAGGUGAAAUUCGUAGAUAUUCGCAAGAACACCAGUGGCGAAGGCGGCUCACUGGCCCGGUACUGACGCUGAGGUGCGAAAGCGUGGGGAGCAAACAGGAUUAGAUACCCGGGUAGUCCU
rnacentral:rRNA from 1 species